rnacentral:rRNA from 1 species
GAUGAACGCUGGCGGCGUGCCUAAUACAUGCAAGUCGAGCGAACAGAUGAGAAGCUUGCUUCUCUGAUGUUAGCGGCGGACGGGUGAGUAACACGUGGGUAACCUACCUAUAAGACUGGGAUAACUCCGGGAAACCGGGGCUAAUACCGGAUAAUAUUUUGAACCGCAUGGUUCAAUAGUGAAAGACGGUUUCGGCUGUCACUUAUAGAUGGACCCGCGCCGUAUUGGCUAGUUGGUAAGGUAACGGCUUACCAAGGCGACGAUACGUAGCCGACCUGAGAGGGUGAUCGGCCACACUGGAACUGAGUCACGGUCCGGACUCCUACGGGAGGCAGCAGUAGGGAAUCUGCCGCAAUGGGCGAAAGCCUGACGGAGCAACGCCGCGUGAGUGAUGAAGUUCUUCGGAUCGUAAAACUCUGUUGUUAGGGAAGAACAAAUUUGUUAGUAACUGAACAAGUCUUGACGGUACCUAACCAGAAAGCCACGGCUAACUACGUGCCAGCCGCCGCCGUAA